AACGAACGCUGGCGGCAUGCCUAACACAUGCAAGUCGAACGAGACCUUCGGGUCUAGUGGCGCACGGGUGCGUAACGCGUGGGAAUCUGCCCUUCGGUUCGGAAUAACUCAGGGAAACUUGAGCUAAUACCGGAUAGGACCACGGUCUGCAUGGAUUGUGGUGGAAAGCUUUUGCGGUGUGGGAUGGGCCCGCGGCCUAUCAGCUUGUUGGUGGGGUGAUGGCCUACCAAGGCGACGACGGGUAGCCGGCCUGAGAGGGUGUCCGGCCACACUGGGACUGAGAUACGGCCCAGACUCCUACGGGAGGCAGCAGUGGGGAAUAUUGGACAAUGGGCGAAAGCCUGAUCCAGCCAUGCCGCGUGAGUGAUGACGGCCUUAGGGUUGUAAAGCUCUUUCGCCAGGGACGAUAAUGACGGUACCUGGAUAAGAAG
rnacentral:rRNA from 1 species